rnacentral:rRNA from 1 species
AGUAGGGAAUCUUCCGCAAUGGACGAAAGUCUGACGGAGCAACGCCGCGUGAGUGAUGAAGGUUUCGGAUCGUAAACUCUGUUGUUAGGGAAGAACAAGUACCGUUCGAAUAGGGCGGCACCUUGACGGUACCUAACCAGAAAGCCACGGCUAACUACGUGCCAGCAGCCGCGGUAAUACGUAGGUGGCAAGCGUUGUCCGGAAUUAUUGGGCGUAAAGCGCGCG